rnacentral:pre_miRNA from 1 species
UCACCUUAGCUGGCUGGCCGGCCCCCAGGCUGGGCUGGGCGAGUAUCUCUUUGAAAGGUUCACCCUCCAGCAUGACUAGGAGC